AGACGACUAUGUAUGAAUACAAUGCAGAACCUUUGAUGGAGGAAUUAGGAGCCAUUUGCAGCAAUUUCAAAAAAAGAAAACAAUGCAAGAAUUACAAGAGUUUCCUGCGCUGUGGGUUAGAAUUUAUGGGAAAAUUCGCCUCUGAAGGAAAAUGCUACAUAACAGGAUUUAACAAAUAAGAGCUGUGCUAUCCUUUUUCAUAAUGACUUCUCUCAAUUCAAAAACGUUUUUUGAAAUUGUGUGUUUGCAAGCAUGAUAAUUCAAAGAUACUUUGUAUUUGAUAUUAUGAUGUUUACAUUAAAUGCAAGUCUUUCUUCCCAAAUUUGGACCGAGCUCUCGAAAAAUUCAUCUAGAAGAAAUUUGCUGUCUGCCCUGAGUAUAAAAGAACAACAAUAAUAAUUUUUAAAAAUGUAAAGAGCUAAGAAAAUAAAAUU